GCAUAUCAAUAAGCGGAGGAAAAGAAAUAACAAUGAUUUCCCUAGUAACGGCGAGUGAAGAGGAAAGAGCUCAAAGUUGGAAACUGUUUGGCUUAGCUAAACCGUAUUGUAAACUGUAGAAACAUUUUCCUGGCACACCAGAUUAAUAAGUCCUUUGGAACAAGGCAUCAUGGAGGGUGAGAAUCCCGUCUUUGAUCUGAGUAGUUGUCUUUUGUGAUAUGUUUUCAAAGAGUCAGGUUGUUUGGGAAUGCAGCCUAAAUUGGGUGGUAAAUCUCACCUAAAGCUAAAUAUUUGCGAGAGACCGAUAGCGAACAAGUACCGUGAGGGAAAGAUGAAAAGAACUUUGAAAAGAGAGUUAAACAGUAUGUGAAAUUGUUAAAAGGGAACCGUUUGGAGCCAGACUGGUUUGACUGUAAUCAACCUAGAAUUCGUUUUGGGUGCACUUGCAGUCUAUACCUGCCAACAACAGUUUGAUUUGGAGGAAAAAAUUAGUAGGAAUGUGGCCUUUCGAGGUGUUAUAGCCUACUAUCAUACUCUGGAUUGGACUGAGGAACGCAGCGAAUGCCAUUAGGCGAGAUUGCUGGGUGCUUUCGCUAAUAAAUGUUAGAAUUUCUGCUUCGGGUGGUGCUAAUGUUUAAAGGAGGAACACAUCUAGUAUAUUUUUUAUUCGCUUAGGUUGUUGGCUUAAUGACUCUAAAUGACCCGUCUUGAAACACGGACCAAGGAGUCCACCAUAAGUGCAAGUAUUUGAGUGACAAACUCAUAUGCGUAAGGAAACUGAUUGAUACGAAGUCUUACGAUGGCAGUAUCACCCGGCGUUGACGUUUUAUACUGAACUGACCGAGGUAAAGCACUUAUGAUGGGACCCGAAAGAUGGUGAACUAUGCCUGAAUAGGGUGAAGCCAGAGGAAACUCUGGUGGAGGCUCGUAGCGAUUCUGACGUGCAAAUCGAUCGUCAAAUUUGGGUAUAGGGGCGAAAGACUAAUCGAACCAUCUAGUAGCUGGUUCCUGCC
rnacentral:rRNA from 1 species